UGCCUACGGGGGGCAGCAGUGGGGAAUUUUGGACAAUGGGCGCAAGCCUGAUCCAGCUAUUCCGCGUGUGGGAUGAAGGCCCUCGGGUUGUAAACCACUUUUGUAGAGAACGAAAAGACACUUUCGAAUAAAGGGUGUUGCUGACGGUACUCUAAGAAUAAGCACCGGCUAACUACGUGCCAGCAGCCGCGGUAAUACGUAGGGUGCGAGCGUUAAUCGGAAUUACUGGGUGUAAAGGGUGCGCAGGCGGUUGAGCAAAACAGAUGUGAAAUUCACG
rnacentral:rRNA from 1 species